CUGACGUCAGACGCCGACAUUGGCACACCAUGGCGUCCUCAGCUCGGUGUCGGAGGCGUCAUGGCGGGGUCGAAAUGUAAAACCCCGGGGGCUCGACAGCGAAAACUGCCCUCGUCUGAAAAGAUUCUGGGAGUUAAGAGACACCGGGACGACCGCGUGCAACGACAGGAGGUGCGCGGAAACGGACUCCGGAAGGCAGAUCUACGAACCAACUAAUCAGUGAGGGAAACCGUGACGCACAGAAGUUGUCCUGGACUGGAAGAAGCGGAAGACCAGGCUGUACCAAACCCUCCUGAUGAUGAUGCAUCCGUGCCAUGUGAUUGAUGUCUUCAGAUAUCCAACCUUCAGGAAGCUUUGAUUGUUGUGGCUUCACCUAAGCUCACCAAGCACAGGACACUGCCUUGACCUCCUGACCUCCAGCCCCCCACAAGUCUGCAAAUCUCUCUGCGACGUAGCAUGCCAACGUUGUACAACUCAGCUGACUAAACACAAACUAUGGCCGGUAAUGAACAAUGAAAACCUGACAAGAUUCACCUUCUUGGAACUUAAGUCUUGCAAACGUUUGCACAAACUAUAUACCAGCUAACCAGCAAUGGAUCCACCCACGUCCCUCAAAGUGCUUAGGAGGCGCUCUCUUGCCAACACUACUCAACACAACACAAACUGGACACCCAUCUGGGGAAAAUGCAACCACAACAUAAUUGGGAGAAGGACAUUCUAUAACUGUAUUUGUAACAGUGAUUCUUUGAAAUGGGUAUUCAGUCCAUAGAUAAUGUACUAUGACUCACUUUAAAAUCUAUAUUAUCUGAAGUACAUGUAUGCUCCUGUGUUGGAUGUCAAGUAAAAUCAUUGCUUAUUUCCUAA